rnacentral:rRNA from 1 species
UACGUAGGGAGCAAGCGUUGUCCGGAAUCAUUGGGCGUAAAGCGCGCGUAGGUGGCCUCAUAAGUCCGUUGUGAAAGUCAAAGGCUCAACCUUUGAAAGCCGAUGGAUACUGUGAGACUAGAGUACGGAAGAGGCGAGUGGAAUUCCUGGUGUAGCGGUGGAAUGCGCAGAUAUCAGGAGGAACACCAAUAGCGAAGGCAGCCCCCUGGGCUAACACUGACGCUGAGGCACGAAAGCGUGGGGAGCAAACAGG